CGAGAGUCCUUAUCUGGGCAGCGACCCCCGAUUCUGAGGCAAACCAUAGGUGGUUGUAAUAAUCAAAUUGGGUGAACAAUGGCAUGUGAGGAAAGCAGAACUGGCCAGCAUCUUCAAACCAUGUCUUCCAGUUAAGCUUUGAUGAGAACCGAUUGAUUGCCAAACAAAAUAACUAUGGUAGGUUAAAUUAGAGUGGGAUGGGUAAGGAGCAUGUGAGGCAAAGUAAAGCUGUACUAGUGACUACCUAAAUGAUGCUUUACCUUUUAUCUUGUGAAUAUCUGAGUAUUCAUUGGCAAGUACAACAGCUUCCUGAUGCGUAAAAAUGCUUGCAUUGUUAUUGGCAUAUUAAAAUGUAGUGUUCUUUAUAUUAAACUACAUGUUAAACUAAUUUAUGAAUUAUGCCUCGCGUGUUAUAGAUAUAAUUAACAGGUAGUAGAAAGCAAAACUAAAUUGUUUUAACCUCUUAUUAUUCAUGAAAAAAUCUGGCUGUUGUGCAAUCUAAUCGUCCUUAUAGACUGUAACUUAAAGUAGGAUAGCUAGCUGACAUGUGCUUAAAGGUCUAAUACAUUUUGAUUUUGGUUAUUAAGUGCAACAUUCUAUAUUCAAGAUCUGAGGAGCAAUAGAAUUUGGCAGAAGCCCUGCUACACUGGAAGAGCACUAGCCAGAAGAAUAACCAAAGACCAAAGGGGAUGGAAGUUAAAGAUCAAGAUAUCGAGAAGGAGGACUCAAGUUGCUCUUCAGUGCUUUAAAUACUGAUGGAACUCAGAUACCUAUCUGCUGCUUCUCGGCUCUCUUUAAUGAACCGUUGAAGACUGCUGCUGUUGAAAUGAAACUUAGUUGCUACUGUGCAGGAAAAAAAACAAGUAAUCAAGUGAAACAAUGUCUCUGUUUGGACUAUCCAAGUAUUAAAUGUUACAAGGCAGCAUUCAGCUGCCCCAAAGGAUGAGAUUUCAGGAUGGAGGCAUUAUUAGACAGAAUGCAAAGGCAAGGACAAGGCAGGGGCUUCCUGACUUCAUGUGAGGCUGAACUGCAGGAGCUGAUGAAACAGAUAGAUAUCAUGGUGGCUCAUAAGAAAGCUGAAUGGGAAAGCCAAACUCAAGCACUGGAGUCCUGUUUAGCUAUACGAGAACAGGAGAUAGCUACACUCAGGAAUGUACUGGAGGAGAAACGCAAAGAGACUGAGAAGUUGUGCCAGAGAUUGGAAAAGAUAGAACAACUGAAUCAUGAGAUGAGUAUGGAAUAUGAACAACAGUUAACAAAAGUCCAGGAAGAGCUAGGUAGAUUGAAGAGAAGUUAUGAGAAAUUGCUGAAGAAACAACUGAAAGCAUCUAGAUAUUCUUCUAAGAGCCAGGAGGAGGAUCAGUCUGAUGUAAAAAUCCUGACCAAGAAAUUAGAGGAGUUCCGCCAAAAAUCCUUAGACUGGGAGAAGCAGCGCUUGCACUACCAACAGCAUGUGGGUGCACUGGAAACACAGAGGAAGGCACUGGCUGAGCAGUUUGAACUUAUUCAGACUCAGCUGUCCAGUCGGAAACAAAUGUUUGAAUCUGUAGAGCUGGCAAACCAAUCUGAAAUCCAUCAUUUAGCCGGCCAGCUGGAAAGGGCCAAUGACACUAUCUGUGCCAAUGAAUUGGAAGUGGAGAGGCUGAAUAUGAGAGUGGAUGAUUUGACUAAUACCAACCAGAAGAUUCUGGAUGAACAUCAAAGACUGUUAGAUGAGCUGAAACUUUCCCGAAACUCACUGGAGGUUCUCUGUGAUGAAAAGAUGGAACUGAGAGCCACUUUGCUGUCUCAGGAGGACUUCGUUGAUAAUGUACGGCUUCAUAAUGAACAAUUACAACAGGAAGUGUCCAAGCUAGUUGAGGCCCUGUGCACCAAAGAGGCUCAGAUCAGGGCAUUGGAACAGCAGUUACAGAACAGUGAGAAACCCAAAGGAAUCUGCCAAGAUGGGGCAGAAUUGGACCAUAUAUGCCUGCAGCUAGAUCAUGCUGAAGUGACUUAUUGUGAGGAAAGCUUGGGAUCUGCAAACACAAAGGGCAUCCAGCCAUGUGAGGAGCUAAUUAAAAAGUGUCGGGAGUUGCAGCUGGCUGAGGAGCACCUCUGCCAGGCCAAGGCUGAAAUUACAAAGCUCCAGGAGCAGCUGUCCCAGAAGGAACAAAGUCAUAGCAGCGAGUUGGAAGGAAUGAAGCAGGAGGUUACUCAGUUAACACAGGAACUGCACCAACGUGACAUUACAAUUGCCUCAUCCAGUGGUUCUGCCUUGGGCUUGGAGCAGCAACUAAGAAUAGAAAUUGAAAAAGCAGAGCGAAAGGCAGUGGAACACAGGGCUAUUCUGUCUCAGCUGGAGACUCUCAGGCAAGAAAACCACCACCUCUCAGAAAUGCUACACAAGGUAAAAAGCACCCCUGUAACUGAACUCCAGGAAAGCUGUGCCAAGGCCCUAAAUAAAGUGGAGUCUGAGAACCAGAGACUACAAAAAGAACUAGCAGAAACUAGAGCAAGGUUGGAAGCCUCAUCUUGGCUGUCUCAGGACAAAUAUGAGAGUAUUGUGCAACAGAUGCAGAAUCAAGUGACAGAGAUAAAGAAUGCUGAGAACCGGAGGAUGCAAGAGCUACAGUGCAAGCAUGAGGAAGAAUUGAGAGAACUCAAAGCUAGAUUUGACAGGACUAUUCAGCACUAUGAAGAGGAAAUCCAGAAAGUGCAAAACGUGUCAGCCAGAAUGGUCCCUGUUUCUAAUACAGCUGCUGGACUGUCACUUCAGAUCAGCAGAAGUAACUCCGUGGAAUCUUUGUCCUGUGGUCCCUUUCUGAGAACAGAUCCCUUGUCAUGUGGAAACAAGGAAUUUAAUUACGAUGUGUCAAGUGAACACGAGAGAGAAUUUUUGCCUUUGAGCCCUCUGCCUACUUCAGACAUUGGGGCAAUUACUGCCAAGUUCCUGGAAGAAGAAGAAGUAAGAUCUCACCAUAUUUUGGAGUGCUUAGAUGCACAUAUCGAAGAGUUGAAACGGGAGAGUGAAAAGACAGUACAACAGUUCACACAACAAAAGUAGCAUUGUUUCAAGGUUAAUGGUUUAGUUUAAGUUACUAUAUACGCAGCUAUAGAUUGCCUGUGACCCAAAGAUGUCAGGAACUAGCAAGAGGCUUGCCUCCUUAUUUGUGCUAAUCUGUUCAGUGAUGGUGAAACCAAGGAAGUGAAGUUGGUGUGGAUCAAAACAUUCUAUCUUGUGGUAGUAAUUGCAGUAAUACAAAAAGUCUUUUUGCUGCCUUAAUUGCAUUCUGCUGCCCCACAAUAUGCAGAGGGGAACGCUGUUGUAGGGGAAAAUGGUAAAAUUUAUUUUAGAAAUGUAGCAAUGUAAAGAAAUAAAACCAACACCCCAUCAUCUUUUUAUAUAAUACAUUGUUACUGUUCAUCUUAAGUAUCAAAUUACCCUCUUCUAAAUUUGCUUUUUCUCUAUUCCAUAAAAUAAGUUCAACUUGCUUUAGCUAGGAAGAUGCAAUUUUGUGUCUUUUCUAAUUAAUCUGUUGUAUUGGUGAAUAUUUCUUGACUUGAUGUAUCUUGCAUUCAAAUACUGAAUUAAUGAUUCAGUGGUGGUCCUAUUGGGAUUUAUUUUUAUUACUGUAUUGCUUCAAUAGCUGUUGAUGAACUAUGGUCAAAUAGUUGCUGCAUAAGAAAGUAAGUGUUUAAGUUAUAGAAGACAAGUUAGUUCAGAAGGUGAAGUUCAGUGUAAGUAAUAAACACCUAUACAUGAGAUCAAUUUUACAUGGACAACAGCUGCCUUAUGAAGUACUAAAGCACCUGUUCAUAGCCAUAAGAGCAGAUUUAGGAGGCUGGUUGGUGUGCCAGACAGCUUUAAAGAAGUUGUUUAGCUUCAGCAAGAAACAUGGAACUUUAAAAUGCAUGUCCUUGAGCAGAAACCAAGAAGCCUAGCAUUGUCACUCCAUAUCACCAACUUACCAUUUCUUCCUAAUACUAAUUGGUAAUCCACUUUGAAUUACUAGUAAGGUUUCAGACUUUUGAAUGACUAGAUUCAAAAUCUUAUUUUCAGGGAAAUUUAAAAAAAAUGUGAAGAUUUUCAGACUUGUGUCAUUUCAGUCUCUGAAAUAGUCUUAGUGCUCAGCUAAUUUCAUAAGUCCUGGCUUUUCUUUUAAAACACUUGUAUUAGUUUUCAGCAUGGUUUAAUAAAUGUAAUUUAUGUUGUAUUUCCUCUACAAGAAGCCUUAGUAUUUGACCAAUAAUUCUUCUCACUUCUUUCAUACUGUAUAACAUGACCCAAAGUAUCAUCCUUCCUAUAAACAUAACAGUAUAUUGACUUUCGCUGCAGGAUAGUGUUCUUGAGAAUAUGUUAUAUGGAGAAAAGUGAGGGGUAUCUGUAUUUCUAGAGCCUUGAUGUCAAGUAUUGAGCAUAUUACAAUUACUACAGUGCUGGGCAGUGGUUGGAGUUGUACUCCAAUAAUAUGUCUUAAUGGAUGUCUUCAACUUAUAUGCAAAUACCACAGAAGCACUUGGGAUCACCAUCGUCUUUUGAGCUUGCUAAUGCAUGCUAUGUUUGUGUUUUGUUUGCUAUGUUUGUUUUUUAUGGCUUCAUGCCAUGCUUUGUCAACACGUCAGCUUGACAUUGAUGGACAACAUGAAAUCAAACACAGCAUGAAGACAUGCCAAAAGAAUAACAUAAAGUUUGAUUUAUGCUAUUUUGCAGGGAUAAUAAAUAAUGCCUGUCAUAGGACAUAGCAUUUUAUUUGGUUGAAAACUGGCUAUUUUCUAUCAGCAAUGAACUGAAAGUGUUCUACCUUUGCUUGGGUGAAAAUACUGUAUUAAAUUUUAUGUAAAGGGGCUGAAAGAAGAGGAAACUUGUGCCUCUUCCCUCAAGCUGCUAUCAUCACAGAUGCAGUCUCUGGAUGGCAGAAGGGACAAGGAGAAAACUUGUAAUUCGGUGCUGCAUUCAGAGCAAAGCACUUUUGCCAGAUGACUAGAAUUUGAAUAUGCACAAUAGGAUUGACUUCUACACUCAGCAGGUAAAAUCCAUGAAGGUGACCAACACACAAAGUACAGUUUCCAGAGCGGCAGCCAUGUUAAGUCUCUUGCAGAGAAGGCAACAAUCCUUUGGCAGCAUAAAGACUUGCAAGAUAUGCCGCCUUCCAGUGUCCUCAUUGAAGUGAGCAUGGUCUGAAUGCAGUGAGGCUAGAACAUUCAAGUCUUUGCUGAGGAUGAAGCUGAAGUCACUGCGCCCAUCAUUGAGUCAUCAAGCUGUACUCUUUUGUUCCUUUCAACUCAAACAUGAAGAGCAUCGGGGAACGGGUCUCCACCACUACUGCUACUUUCCCAUUUACUGUGACAUGCAAAUAAAGAAAGCUUGUUAGGAUGUUUCCUACCAUUUACUCAAAAACACAAGUCAUUCAAGAGGCCCGUAUAAAAUGACCAGGAGAAUGGACUAUCCUGCUGUAUUGUCAAUCAUUUUGUAAGUAAAAGGGAGAAUAUUAUGGCUGGCUGACUGAAGUUUGUCAAGCCUCUGUCAAAUCCAAAUUCACUCAGAAGAAACAGCAAGAGGGUUCAAAGUAGGAAGAAAUCAGUUUGGGGUGCUUGUUUGCUACUCUUUUAUUACAAAUGCAAUAGAACUGCUCAUCAUUCUGAGAAAAGAUGAAAGCAUAUUUGGCUUUCAGUUACAGUUCUCAACUUGCCUGCACUUUUGACUACAGUUCCUUAGAAGCUGUCAGUGUUCACAGAAAGCCAAGGGAGUUCAAAAGACAAGAUUCCAAAAUGAGGUUCUUCAUUCUAUAGUUAGGUUCUGAAUUACACCAAGGGCAGUAGCUGGGAGAUUCUGAAACCCAGCAUACUUAUAUGCACCCAUAUUUCAGAUCCUCAUUUUAAAAAACUUUUUGCCUACAUUUCAAGAUGGAAUAUAAAACUAAGGACCUAUGCAAUCUGACUAGGGAAUGGUGCUUUGGCUUUCAUACAAAUUGGGAUUCCAUGGGUGAAAGUAUGUCUAAGGACUAUAGAAUUGUGACCCCCGUGGUUUAGUCCCACAAAGUUAAUCUUUUUAAAAAUAAUAAAGCAACAGCCUACAGUCUAACCUUUACUAUUUUAUCUUUUUUUCUGCCAAAAGUUGGAAGAGUUUCUUAUGAUAAUAUCUCUGUGUGGCAAGAGACUGUAUGAUUGUACCUGUUUGAAUAAUGGGUGUUUCUGGAUGGGCUGCCAGCAAUCCCAUCUUGUAAAAGUCACUCUUGUAUAACAUGCUGCUCUCAAACUGUUUUAAUGUCACUGUUGGAUUGAGUAGCUGCCAGUUGCUGUUGUCUGGGAAAUGAUUAUUAAUAAAUAGGGCGGGGUGGGUGAGGAAGUAGAAUUCAUUGUAUCUGGAACAAAAGGGAGAGAUCAAUAUAUCAUUGGCAAAGUACACUUAACUUCCACCCUUACACCACAACUAUGUCUGCAAUCGUAAGCAUAUUUAAGUAUAGAAAUAGCUCUGAACUGAAAUAAAUGGAGUUUAUUUCAAAGUACACAUAGAACUGGACUGUAAGUAGCACAGCAGAGGCCUACAAAGCAAAAGAUGAAAUGUGUAAAAGUGAGGCUAGAUCAAUUUGGUUAAGAACACUGUAGAGUAGACCAUUUAGUCAAGCUAGGUGGUUUACUCAAGUGUAAUUUAUUGGUGGCCCAGUUCAAAUAUGGUAUUACUGGCUGCAGGAAUCAUUCAUGGUCUUCAUUAAUUAGAGUUUCCCAUUACGUCUGAAAUAAGCUGUAGCUUAAUGUAAGCUUACCAACCUGGUUAAUAAAGCAUAGAUUAUGGUUGGUAAGCAAACAUAAUUUUGUAUGUAAUAGGAAUCUCUGGGCUAAACAGAUGAAAAUUGAUGUGCUAAGCAGAUGCACCAAGGGAGGGAAGAGUUCGUGGGCUUGACAUCUGUUCGGGAAAAUGACAUCGCAAAAGGUCCACAUCAGCUGUGCUUUCUUCCUGUUCUGGCUCUUUAAGAAUUUUCUACAGGCCACAUUAUUGUGGUAGUUUCUUUUUCAGGUUAAGACUAGUAAUUACAACUUCAGGAGAAGGCUAAAUCAUAGAAAACCACCUAGCUAUAGCCUUGCAUUGCUCUUCUGAGUAGAAUCAAAACAUGCAGGGGACAAUAAACACGCUAGCUCUGUUCCCUUCUAUUGCCACCCUUGCUGUCCUCCAUACAUUAGAGGCAAAUAGCAGCAGCAGGAGUCUUUUCUAGUCAUGUGCAGAUAAGCUCCAAAUGUGAUAUACAAACCUGCUUUUUCUGGGAUUUGAAUCACAUGGAUAAUCUACACAUGUUGCUAAGCUUCAGACAUUGACCUUCUGACUUGUGCAACAUAAUGGAGAUAAACCAUAACUCUUGGUAUUCCUAAGCAUUGGCCACACUGCUUCAGCAUGAUCGGCAUUGGUCCAAAACAUCUGCACUAGGUUGAGGAAGGCUGGUUUAAGGCCCUAGAAUGCAAUUCCUUGUGUACUCUACUUAGGAGCUUUUAUUUUCUGUGGGUUGAACAAUUUAGUAAUGAGUAAUUAUAGUAAUUAUUCAGUUCAGUAAAACAGAAUAGCAGGUGUAUUAUUAAGGGAUUUGGUGACCCCACCCUAUUCUCCAAAAGACUACUAUUGUUCAAAGACCCCAGUCUGGACAGGAAAAAAAAAUUCUGAGCCCAUGAAACCUAACCUUCAAACUCUCUGAUUCAAAGUAAGCAAAUUUGGUUCAUCUUUCUAACUUUGCAUUGUUCAAAUUCUGCCUCAGUAAUUCAUGAGUAAUUCAUUCAUAAUGCAUGGCACAGUGCCCAUUAUCCACCUAACUUUUCAGGUAUUACCUUGGAAGCCUUAAUGUCUAUUUUUAAAACAAAAGCAGGAUAAACCUAAGGAUGUGGAUUCCGUAAAUGUGAUAUGUGAAAUGCAGCAUGCUGUCAGGGGCAGGUGAGAAGGAAAUCUCUUGUAGGCAUUAGGAAGAUUAUUUUUCCAAAAUACAGAAUUUUGGAACUUAAUUCACAAUUUAUUAUGGCAAUCAUAAGCCCCAGAAUUUGGAAGCUUGCUUUCUUCUUAUGCAGGAUAGGAGAGUGGAGAAGUUAAUCAUCACAUGUCCUCCCCAUCAUGCUUUUUGUUGGUCUAGUUAUAGCACUUUGGGUGUGGGGGGUAGACUAUGGGGGUCUCAGAAUAGCUCCUGUCGUGCCAUUUCUAGUCUCUUCCCUACCCACUGAAACACUCCUUUUUUCUGUUUUUCAUUUUUUCAAAUAAUGUUCUUAAACCGAAUACAAAAAGAAAAAUAUAUGUAAAAUAAAGUAGGAUAAAGUAAAAACAAAGCAAAACAAAAAGAAAAAAGAAAAAACAGUAUGCAUGGGGAUUUGACUCAAUAAAAUGUUUCAUUUUAGCUUAUCUGGCCAUCUCACUGUAAUCAGAGCUAUGGCCUGAAAGUCUUCUAGCCCACCUGUCAUUAGAGAGGUAAAGACCCUCUCAAAGACAUUUUAUAAACAUCUAAAUGAGAUAAGGUAUGAAGCAGUGAUGCUAUGUCAAGUUGCCAUUCCCCUGGAAGUCUAUGGCCAUACUACCUCAAAAGCACCUGAUGUUGUCUGAAACCCCUUUUACACCCCCACCCCCAAGCUUGUAUUACCAACCUCAGAGAGGCAUCCAGUUUAGUUCUUUCCACACUAGGGGAAGGAGGGCAGAGUGGAGUUUGGAAUCUAAAAUACCCUACGGCCUUUCAGGGGCCAUGUGAUUGCUCUCUUAAGUAGUCAAAUCCCUGCAUGUUUAUGUUGAUCUAGGCCUGUCAGUCUUGAAUGGGCUGCAUCAACUGUAAGAAGCACAAUCUCUAAAUUAUUUUUCAGCACAAUCUAGUACAAAUAUACUUAUAAACCUAAAGCUUUUCUUAACUCUCAUUCCCGCAAUGGUGAAAACAAUGUUGAUGAAAUUUACCUGAUGUGUGAUCUGUCACAUUUGUAGCAAAGGCAAACUUCCACCUACUGAAACACACUUUCUAUUGAUCCAAAGUUCAUUUUAAAAAUGCAUCUCUGGCCAUUAAGAGUGCUUAAUACACGCAGUAUCACAGUGAUGUAAAUGUGCAUCAUAACUUAAAAAGACUGUUCUCUGCAGAAUUUUUGUAUAAACAGAUCAGGCAUGGAUUUUGAAAAAUAGACAAAUAUAUGUGAAAACAGCAUUAAGAGGAGCAAAAGCAUUUGGAGAAUUCUUUAGCAUUAUCCAAAUCCUAUGUCUCUCAGCUAUUUCAAGUGGGUAGAGGAAGGAAUAAGACUGUACCUGAAAGUAAAUUUGCUGAAACAGUCAUCAAUGGAGCCGCUACCCCAUGUACUAUCCACCAAGUGCCACCUUCCAUCAAGAUAAACUGCAUUCCAGGCAUGGUCAUACUCUCCUGUAAAGGUCUGCCCAGUCUUGUAACCAUGUCCUUUGGAAUACCCAGAUAAGUUCAUACACUGCACUCCCGCAAUACUGAGGGGAAGAAAAGAAUGCACAAAACAUUUCAUUUCUGAAGGGCUGUCCUUUUAUCAUUCAGCAAACUUGGGUCUUUAUUACUCAUUGCAGACUUCCAUGGAGCGUAUUCCAUAUUAUCCUACCUGUGCAAUAUGUGUAUGUCAACUUUCACUUUUUGUUCUGACUGAAUGUCUCUUGCAAUGUUAACUUGAAGUUAACUUAAGAGAAACAAUUUAUUAUCAGGCUGCAAACUAUUUUUGGGUUGAUUCUCCCAUGUGCUGUCAAGGUCUUGCAUAAGUAAAGAUUGCUGAAAACACCAGCCUUAGUUUCUUGAACAAAACAGGAAGGCCAAGAUGCUUUAAAGGCCCAUGUUUAAAGAGGGAAGUGGUCUGAAUAUCUUCUUCCUACUUUGGAGCCAUGUCUGUGAUAGUCCCAUCUGCCUGUUUGCCCCCAGCCUCCUCCAGUCAAUCAGAAUAGUGCUGUAUUUAUGAGAAUUUGCCCUUUUCAUUGUCCCCAAAGGAGGAUAUAAUCUAUGAGGCUGGAAGUGCUUAUGAUUCAGCUCCUCUGUUCAUAACUGCUAGCAGGCAGGCCCAGCAGCCCAUCUGGACAACAGUGAAAUUGAGCUUUAACUAGUUCUGUUGAACUUACACAAAUGCCACAAGACUUUUAGGCAUUGCAAACAAAAUAUGCUGAUUUGUACCUAAGCCUUCAGGACAGAUUACUAUAUUUGGUGUUACAUGGGGUCUGCCUUUGAAAACAGUCUGCAAGCAACAACUGUUCCAGAAUAGGGCUGCAAGGGUCCCAGUGGGAGCUCCCUGUUCAUAUCAUACUAUGUUUAUCCAGCUUCACUGUUUCCCAGUUUGGUUCUUAAGUGUUGGCUUUGACAUAUUAACGUUCUAAAUGAUUUGGGGCCAGAGUAAGUAGAAUGAAAACUCAGGAACCACAUUCUUCUGUGUGAUCCUGUCUUCAGCCUCCACUCUAUUUGAGAUCUAAGAUAAGGCAUAUGGGUAACCAAGAGCAGCUUCCUAACAAAACUUCAUUUGUGUCCCUUGCUGGUUGCCUUCGGGUAGGUUGUAAAGUUGAUUUUACAUAGACAGACACUUUGAAGAUUCUGGUUCUGGAUCAUUUCUUCUAUUUCUGCUGUUUAGCUGCAAGUGCCAUUGCUUGGGUAGGUAAAGCAACAUUGCCCAUGCUAAAGGGGGAAUUCAAAAUGUUUUAAAAGCUUAAGGAAAAAAUCCUAAAGCGCGGGGCACUCCAAAAUAGCCCACUGAAGUCUGAGAGCACUUGGUGUCCACAGAAUGCCAGCUGACUACUGGAUGGGAAAAAAUGGAAAGCUAGGGAGAUGUGAUGGGUUGGAGUGCCCUAGAAAAGGCUAAGCCUGACUCACUGAGUGGUGCAGCAUUUUAUUGCUGAUCUCACUCACUGUUUUAUAUUGCUGUGUCUGUUACUGUUAAAAUGUGUUGCAUUUUUUCAGUGACAUUUUCUCUGGUUUAACGUAUACGGCCUUACAAACUUCAGUUUAAAAAAGGAUAGAGUAUAUAGAGUAUAAAUCAAUAAUCAGUGGACAAUACUAUAUGGUGCGGAGAUAGUCUAACCAGGUUUUUUCUCUGUACUGUUAACUCAUCAAUAAGAAACGAGGGAUUUGAAGAGCUCCCUUGGCACUUGACAAAGCCAGUAGCUUGAACAGUGUGAUGGUAGAUGAAAUUAAAGUUGUAGCAACAAGGAUUGAACAAAACAAUUGGAAUUGAUUGCCAACACUGAUACAAUCAUUGCGGACAAUUCAGUGCAAGCAUCUGUUCAAUGCAUGGAGAUGAUUAAAAGCAAAUAAGAUGUUAGCCUCUGCUUCAAAAGGGAAUAGAAAAUAGUCUGGAAAACAUUACAAAUUACAAUGGUACUAUGUGAAUGGCAUGACCUUCUGUUCAACACAGUAGACUGAUUUGGUCACUUCAAUGUGAAUAAAAGGAGUAUGGGGAAAAAAGCAAAAAUGGAAGGGCUUGGGGAAGGCAUAUGACAGAGGAGACUUAUUUGAGUAAAGCAUGUGGAGAAUGGAGAUAAUUGUUUGUGACAAAGGGCAUGGCCGGAGACAAGGCACAUCCAUAGCACCAACGAAAGAAGAAAAUGGGCAGGCUGGUUCUUUCCCAAAGUGUCUCAUUGAGUCAACACUGAUUUCUGAUUAAACUGCUGAAACAUAAAUGUCUUUGCAUGCUGCCAUUUUCCCCUGCCAAGCUGGUGCUUUGUUCACCCAGUCAGAGCUGCCCUUAGUCAAUUAACUUUGUUGUUGCAAAUUCUGGGGUUGCCAACCUAGACAGCUGCCCAAGUCAGCAAGGCUCUGGAAUUUGGGGCAGUUUCUGCCUCCAUGUGCCAAACUGGCAGUUCAACAUCAUUUUAACAAAUGUUAUGAGAAAGGGUGCGGUUCAUAAUGAAGUUGCCAACAAUAAAGAUUGAUUCAGUCUUGUCAAGCC